CUCGGCUGCAAUUAUGUCAUCAUGAAAUCAUGCUCCACAUUCUAAAAUAAACUCAUUGCCAUAUGAAUUGUUAUCUUACUGAGAUAUUUUUGUAGUUGUCUUUUAACAGCUUCCUUAGAAGUGUCUCCCAAAUUUCUCACAAUACCAAAACAAAAAUUUCUUUCUUCAUCUUAUCCAAAAAGGUCAAAAAGAGUUUUCCUUAAUGACACGGUUCGGGACUCACCUGUGGACGUGGAUGUCCUGUGACCAGACAGGCUCAUUAUAUUACAUAUUCUGAUAUCACAAACACAGAUAGGGAAGAAGAAAGUAGGAAGAGCUGAGACAGGAGGUGAAGAUGCUGAUGCACAUGAUGACCUCUUGUAUGUGUGUAUGCCCGGGAGGAACCAGUCUGAGUCAGCCACCAGUAAUCUACACGCUCCUGUAUCUACAUGGACAUUCUCACAUCAACCCUUCACCAUAUUCUUCCUGGCAUUUCUCAGGGGAAGCUGAUCUGCACAGUGGGAAUAUUUGAAAGCCCAUCAAACAUUUCAUUAAUCUCAUAAUUUGGUCACAGGGAUUUGUAUGAACUAGGCUGGGUACCUCAACUUGAAGAUAAAUAUUAUAGGGAACUGCAUCCCCAGCCGCAGCGUAUGAAUGAGAUACUCUAUACACAACUUCUUAGUUUUCUAUUGGAUCCUAUGGUACUUCCCAAAUGGUUUCUGACUAAAAGUUGAAUCAUGUCUCCAAAUAGUAUAUUUUAGAAAAAUAAAAAAUAACUACUCCAGAAACUUCA
rnacentral:lncRNA from 1 species